CUUGUUUUUUUCAAUAACACAUACUGAAAUAUGUCCAUGAAGUAUCAGUAACAAAUCAAACUACAAACUAGUGAAGUUUUUACAUGAAGGCUUUUCCGAAAUAUGCUGAAAAUAUGUUAUGCCUUCUGAACUCGAAUUCGUUAAAUAAUUCGGCAUUGAAAACUGACAACUUUGCACUAAAAGGAGGGAUACCAAAAAGCAUACCAUAGUGAUUCAGUAAUGAUAAGACUUCCGAUAAACUUUUAAAAAAAUAAUGAAACAAAGAUAGCAGCCUUUUCAUUGAAAAUUUUAGUUUUAAUUAGAUGAAAUUGGUUCUACUUUUCAUGUCCCGUUUGGUUAUAAGCUCCGGACGUUUUGUAGUUAUUUAUAUAUUAUUGUCUUUCAAAUGAUUUGGGUUUAGUGUUCUAAAUGGAGGUUAAACCAUAAAAGGGUUAUGGACGCACGAAAUUCAUCCAAGAGUUUUCAUGAUUAAUCUUCAACAGGAACGCUGAAUCCCAAAUAUUUAAAAUUCUGGAAAGCAAAAAUACGUAAAAAACUGAUGGAACGUUAUAACCAACAGUUAACUUGAAAUCAUAUCGAAAUUAAUCCAACCAGGUAAACUUGGCAGAAAAACCUCAGUUUCUUAGUAAUUUCUUAAAAUAUAAACUGGGAAAGUUACAAAAAAAGGUAAGAUCCCCUACGUUUACAUUUGAUAGGAGACAGAUAACAGAAUACCUCUACAACAGAUUUACCAGGAUAUAAGUUCUUGAUCUUAAAGAAAAUUCACACAAGUAGUUUUAAACAAAUACAUAAAUCAAAUACCAUACAAAAAGCAGUCCGAUAAAAAGCCGUAGUGAAAACAAUUGAAUGUCAUGAAGAGGUAAAGAAGCAACCUAAGUCUUCAACCCAGAUAUUCAAAGAAAACCCGUAAAUCUCUACAUGUACAUGGUAUUAAAUUUUGUUUUAAAUUCAAUUAUAAAUAUAUGGAUAUCAGUAUCUUCAUGAGAAAUCUGUAUUGUAAUUCGGGGUAAGGUCAAACACAGUUCUUGAUAAGGUAUAAAAUUGAAAUGUCAUAAUUUCUAAUAUCCUUGUACUACGAAUCGACACAUGGGUAAUUAUUGUAACCUUGAUAGUUUAAUAUGUGAUAUCCUCGAUACUUCUUUAACCAUUAUCCAAAAUAAUAUCACACAUUGGAAUAUUAAAUCAAAUUAUAGCUAUAUAGACAAUUUGUAUGAUCGUUUAAAUUUCAAAUUAUUAUCAAGAUAAAUUUCACGAAAUAGUGGUAAAUAAGCGAAGGAUAUGCAUGCAAGUGGUUCUGUUCUGUUUGUUUGUUUCUAUGCUGCCUUUGCAUUUAUUUUUGGGAGAAUUCUUGUAUUAGCUUUUAUUAGCAUAGAUGUUUUCAUAUGUCGUUUUGCAUUGAUUAGUUGAUUGAUUGGUGUUUAACGCAACUAUCAGCACCAGUGUGCCAUUUUGUUACGGCUAGUUAUUAUUGAGAGAGAAAGCUGGGAGCUCGGAGAGAACCAUCGACCUUCGGUUGGAAAACAAACCAUUCCAAUUAAAUAAUGAUAGGAAUUAAGCGCACCUGGCACGUACGGGAUUGGAUCUCACAACCUUAAUGUUGACAGACUAGGGAACAGUAGUUCGACAACUUAUGACUACUUGGCUUCCAAGGCACCCCGUUGUUUAGCAACUGUUAAUUAGAAACGACAGGAACAACAGCAUCUCCGUAUAUUCUGAUCGUGUUAAAUAAAAUAUUUAACAAGAUAAAGUAUCAGUGUUAGGUUUGGGAAAAUGAAAACGAAUAUAUAGUUUAUGAAAGUCGAUCAAUAAACUUCUAAAUGCAGUAAAGUUAAGUAUAAUAG
rnacentral:lncRNA from 1 species